rnacentral:lncRNA from 1 species
GUGCCAUAGGUUUUUGUAGAGGCUUCACCACCGGAAUUGAGAUACAGACCAGAUUCACCAUCUCCACAACCCCCACCACCAGAUUCCCUUGUGCAACCUCCUUGGAGUCACUUUCUCCCCACCUGCAUGCCCUGGCCACCGAACGUCUGGUCUCCACUCCUGCAGUCAUGUGGCACUUUAGCCUCCAUACCUGCCACUCCUGUUCCAGAGUCCCCGCACCGCUAUCUGUGUCUGGAUCACCCUGCCCUGGAUGUGCUGCUGUUUGCUCGUCCGUUUGCCCACUGAGGAUGUUUGAGGGAGCUAGCAAGCAAAAGCGAGUUAUUUCUUCUUUGAAGCUGAUGUCACUCAGGCCUGAAGGUGACCUUGACAGACCCUCUCCUAAAGCCCCAGAAUGCCCCACCUGCCCACUGUGAGUGCAUCUCGGAGAGCAGGGAUGCAGCUCUGCACACAAGCAGGAGGGAGGACUGAGUUACAGAAAUAGCAAGAUGUAAACCGCGUGCUUUUCACAGACAGACUUCAACAGAUGCCCCUGUUGGAUCGGAGCUGAUUCCUGGUUCCUGACACGGCUGAGGUUUCCCACAUUUGCAUGGAAACAACAGGGCAGAGGGAGGAGUGGGAUCCAGACAUUGUGACAUAAUCUGAGAAUCCUCACGUUUGUUGAGUACCUGCUAUGUGAUGGGGGCUGCUGAUCUUUAGGGGUUUAUGUCAUUACCAGGAACACAAGAUAGAGUUUCAAGAUUAUUAGAAAAGACAAGACAGUAUAGCAAGCAAUGUGUUAUGCAAUCUAUGACAGAGAAGCUGAACCUACUGACAGGAGUAAAAUUAACACAGACUACAGUGCUUGGGCCAGGCUCUGAGGGGUCGGAGGUGUGGCAGGAUGCAGGAGGACAGGAUGCGUGAAGAUGCAGAAAUAUGAAUGAGAAUGACAUGGUUCUCAUGUGGUACUUGGAAAGAUACAGGCUACAACAUCUUAUGCAUGGCAUAAUUCCAAUGUUGAAAAAAUUAGAAGUAUUCAGACUAUACUGUGUUCG